AGAAGCAGAGGCAGAGGCA
rnacentral:snRNA from 1 species